UACGUAGGGUGCGAGCGUUAAUCGGAAUUACUGGGCGUAAAGCGUGCGCAGGCGGUUUUGUAAGACAGACGUGAAAUCCCCGGGCUUAACCUGGGAACUGCAUUUGUGACUGCAAGACUAGAGUGUGGCAGAGGGGGGUAGAAUUCCGCGUGUAGCAGUGAAAUGCGUAGAUAUGUGGAGGAAUACCGAUGGCGAAGGCAGCCCCCUGGGUCAACACUGACGCUCAUGCACGAAAGCGUGGGGAGCAAACAGG
rnacentral:rRNA from 1 species